UACAGAGGUCCCGAGCGUUGUUCGGAUUCACUGGGCGUAAAGGGUGCGUAGGUGGUGAGGUAAGUCGGAUGUGAAAGCUCGGAGCUCAACUCCGAAAUGGCAUUGGAAACUACCUUGCUAGAGGGUUGGAGGGGGGACUGGAAUGCUUGGUGUAGCAGUGAAAUGCGUAGAUAUCAAGCGGAACACCAGUGGCGAAGGCGAGUCCCUGGACAGCUCCUGACACUGAGGCACGAAAGCUAGGGGAGCAAACAUG
rnacentral:rRNA from 1 species